rnacentral:rRNA from 1 species
UCGGCGCGAUUCGCCUUACGGCUCAGUAACACGUGGACAACCUAACCUAUGGAGGGGGAUAACCCCGGGAAACUGGGGAUAAUACCCCAUAGACUAUGAAUGCUGGAAUGCUUUGUAGUUGAAAGGUCCGCCGCCAUAGGAUGGGUCUGCGGCCGAUUAGGUUGUUGUUGGGGUAACGGCCCAACAAGCCUGUAAUCGGUACGGGUUGUGGGAGCAAGAGCCCGGAGAUGGAUUCUGAGACACGAAUCCAGGCCCUACGGGGCGCAGCAGGCGCGAAAACUUUACAAUGCGGGAAACCGUGAUAAGGGAACUCCGAGUGCCCGUAAAAUCGGGCUGUCCAUCUGUUUAAAUAACAGGUGAAGAAAGGGCCGGGCAAGACCGGUGCCAGCCGCCGCGGUAAUACCGGCGGCUCGAGUGGUGGCCACUAUUACUGGGCUUAAAGCGUUCGUAGCUGGUCUGUUAAGUCUCUGGGGAAAUCUACUGGCUUAACCAAUAGGCGUUUCAGGGAUACUGGCAGACUAGGGACCGGGAGAGGUGAGAGGUACUCCAGGGGUAGGAGUGAAAUCCUGUAAUCCUUGGGGGACCACCUGUGGCGAAGGCGUCUCACCAGAACGGCUCCGACAGUGAGGGACGAAAGCUGGGGGAGCAAACCGGAUUAGAUACCCGGGUAGUCCCAGCCGUAAACGAUGCGCGUUAGGUGUAUCGGUGACCACGAGUCACCGAGUGCCGAAGAGAAAUCGUGAAACGUGCCGCCUGGAAGUACGGUCGCAAGCUGAAACUUAAAGGAAUUGCGGGGAGCACAGGCGAAUUCGUUAAACUGCAUGACUAGUCCCUUAGUGAGGGUAUUCUG